UACGAAGGGGGCUAGCGUUGCUCGGAUUGACUGGGCGUAAAGGGCGCGUAGGCGGUUCGUACAGUCAGACGUGAAAUUCCUGGGCUCAACCUGGGGGCUGCGUUUGAUACUUGCGGACUUGAGUGCGGAAGAGGGUCGUGGAAUUCCCAGUGUAGAGGUGAAAUUCGUAGAUAUUGGGAAGAACACCGGUGGCGAAGGCGGCGACCUGGUCCGAUACUGACGCUGAGGCGCGAAAGCGUGGGGAGCAAACAGG
rnacentral:rRNA from 1 species